GCAUUGGUGGUUCAGUGGUAGAAUUCUCGCCUGCCACGUGGGAGACCGGGUCCGAUUCCCGGCCAAUGCA